rnacentral:rRNA from 1 species
GAUGAACGCUGGCGGCGUGCCUAAUACAUGCAAGUCGAGCGAACAGACGAGGAGCUUGCUCCUCUGACGUUAGCGGCGGACGGGUGAGUAACACGUGGAUCACCUUCCUAUAAGACUGGGAUAACUUCGUGAAACCACAGAUAAUAACAGAUAACAUGUUCAACCGCAUGGUUCAACAGUGCUUGACGGUUUUGCCGUCACUUUUAGAUGGAUCCGCGCCGGAUUAGCUAGUUGGUAAGGUAACGGCUAACCAAGGCGACGAUGCGUAGCUGACCUGAGAGGAUGAUCGGCCACACUGGAACUGAGACACGGUCCAGACUCCUACGGGAGGCAGCAGUGGGGAAUCUUCCGCAAUGGGCGAAAGCCUGACGCAGCAAUGCCGCGUGAGUGAAGAAGGUCUUCGGAUCGUAAAACUCUGUUAUUAGGAAAGAACAAAUGUGUAAGUAUCUAUGCACGUCUUGACGGUACCUAAACAGAAAGCCACGGCUAACUACGUG